AGCUGAGAGUCAGAGGUGGGGACAAACAUCAGAUUGGGAAGCCAACUCCUGCCCUGCCCUGAUGAAUCUCUUCUGGGUUCUCUGUGCUCUGCUUGCAAAUCACUGGUGUUUGGGUGAUGACAACAAAGAUUCAGAGCUUUGCACUUCUACAGGUGAACUUCCUGCUCCUGAUUUAUUCUUGAACGCAACUUUGGUUCCUGAAGGGGAAACUAUCACAGCACUAUGUGCGGCUCCAUCAAAGGUUGUGGUGACCAGAUUCUUUCUCUGUAAAGAUGGGACUCCUGUUUCAUUCAAGAAAGCAACAUCUCAAUGUGCUCAAUACCUAGUCUCUGCAUCGCCAAAGAAUGCUGGCCAAUAUUCCUGUGGUUACCAGCAGAAGGAUGCAAAGAACCAAGAGAAGACAUCUGCCCUCAGUGUUGCUCAGAAUGUGAUUGUCCAGUCAGGGUCAAAUCAGAAAAUUAUAUAUGGAGUUGUGGGUGUUACCAUUCUGGUGUUGGUACUUUUGAUCUACCUUUUGGUCAAGAAAGUGCAGUGUCGUCAGCGAUCUUCAAGGCAGGAUGGAGCCAACACUGAGCACAUUCCUUUUGAUUAUGUGGAAAGAAAUAAAGUCAAGAACAACAGCAGAAACCUGGCCUCUGAAGAAGUUCAGUGUAAGAUAAUUCUUUUCUCCCUUUGGACUGAAGGUCAUGAAAACCACAGUUGCAUCAUGAAUCAUGCCACAAAUCUAGCACACAAUCAGAGGAUCUGCAGAAUGUUUAGCAGCUUUAUAUUUGUUGGUCUGAAUAGUUAAGUUUGCAGACUUUACGACUGUGGGAAAAUGCUCUAAAAACGAGUAUAUACAUGUUUCUGCUGAAAAACUAGGAAGACAGUUAUGCUCUUCAGCUAAUCACAUGACUGUAAAAUGUGUUUGAAAUAUCUAAAAUGAAGGAUUAAGAACUUUGAAUUCAGGUGUUACUUUUUAGUAUUGCUAUACAAUCCCUUGGAGGUUUCUGUGUGAAAGGCAGAAUUUAGUUUUAGGAUACAAAUAUUAUGUUCUGGAACAUGAAAACCACAAAUUUAAUUAAGUUUUUAAAAAAUCCUUUCACUCUCCAAACCUAAUGGAAGGUACAAUGGUUUUAUUUUGUUAUGCAGCUGCAUUCCAAUGACCUCAGAUGCAAACCCUUGUGUCUCCAGGAGAAACUAGAUUUUUCUGUAGUUAUUUCUAACUCAGUGAAGCUUCUGGUUCAUGCUUACCUACAAAAAUUGUAAUACAUUAUUUGGUAGAAUAGGCUUAUAAAUAGAAGUUGUGGGCUGUGGGAAAGAAUGUACUCACUGUGGUUCCUCACCCCCAUGACGCAUUCAACAAGCAGUGACGCCCACAUAGCCAUUUCGGAAGGCUUCUCUCAAUGUAGCUUUACCAGAACCGCUGAAUUUGAAUGUGUUACUCAUUUCCAGAGAGCUAUUUUUGAAGGCCUAUAGUAUACAACUGUUUCUGUUGCCCUCCCUGACCUCUUAGUCAGAUGCAUUCUCAGGAUAGCACAACCACCCAGACACUGAUGGAUUAUAACUCUCAUCAGACCCAGCCAACAUGCCUUUCCACUCCUGACCCUUGCUGUUGAAUGAAGAACUCAAACUUUCUGUUUCUGCCAAACCCAUUAACGCAUAGACCUGGGUGAUACCCAGGCAAACAAGAGUAAAGGUACAGCAGAUGAAUUGUAUGGCUUAGUGUGGGCUGAGACAUUGAUCCAAGAAGCUACACAUACCCUGCCUCUUCCUUUUGAAGAGUAGGACAGAAACAAGUCUUGACAUAGCAAACGAGAGGUAUUUCUGCUCCGGAAAAGCAAACUGAGAAAGCAAAUUGGCACUUUGGUGAGUGAAUGGGGCCUGUGAGGUAUGUUUAUGUCAGUGCUGACUGAUUCUCAGACACCUUUUCCUGGAGAAGCUCAAUACUAGCAGGACUGACAGGAGGUGUCAGUGAUGGCAAUGGUCCUUGAGGAGCUGCGUGGGCAUUGUUGUAUUUGAAGCAAAUGAUAGCUUCAAGAAAGAGCCUGGUGAUCAGGGAUGAACCACUCCUAAAAGGCUGAUACAUGUUACAAUUGUACACAAUACACAUAAGUACACAUACGUAUACACAUCCUUGAAGUUGUACUGUGCGACUAGACUAACUGUGAAUUUGUCUUCAGAUGCCACACUUACGGGACUCCAUCAAACAGUGCGAUCACCACCCCGAAAUACAGAAACAACAACCUAUGCAUCUGUUACUCCAUUGU